GGGGUUGUGGCUCAGUGGUAGAGCACUUGCCUAGCAUGUAUGAGGUGCUGGGUUCAAUCCUCAGCACCACA
rnacentral:tRNA from 1 species